rnacentral:rRNA from 1 species
ACGCUAGCUACAGGCUUAACACAUGCAAGUCGAGGGGCAGCAUGGUCUUAGCUUGCUAAGGCCGAUGGCGACCGGCGCACGGGUGAGUAACACGUAUCCAACCUGCCGUCUACUCUUGGACAGCCUUCUGAAAGGAAGAUUAAUACAAGAUGGCAUCAUGAGUCCGCAUGUUCACAUGAUUAAAGGUAUUCCGGUAGACGAUGGGGAUGCGUUCCAUUAGAUAGUAGGCGGGGUAACGGCCCACCUAGUCUUCGAUGGAUAGGGGUUCUGAGAGGAAGGUCCCCCACAUUGGAACUGAGACACGGUCCAAACUCCUACGGGAGGCAGCAGUGAGGAAUAUUGGUCAAUGGGCGAGAGCCUGAACCAGCCAAGUAGCGUGAAGGAUGACUGCCCUAUGGGUUGUAAACUUCUUUUAUAAAGGAAUAAAGUCGGGUAUGGAUACCCGUUUGCAUGUACUUUAUGAAUAAGGAUCGGCUAACUCCGUGCCAGCAGCCGCGGUAAUACGGAGGAUCCGAGCGUUAUCCGGAUUUAUUGGGUUUAAAGGGAGCGUAGAUGGAUGUUUAAGUCAGUUGUGAAAGUUUGCGGCUCAACCGUAAAAUUGCAGUUGAUACUGGAUAUCUUGAGUGCAGUUGAGGCAGGCGGAAUUCGUGGUGUAGCGGUGAAAUGCUUAGAUAUCACGAAGAACUCCGAUUGCGAAGGCAGCCUGCUAAGCUGCAACUGACAUUGAGGCUCGAAAGUGUGGGUAUCAAACAGGAUUAGAUACCCUGGUAGUCCACACGGUAAACGAUGAAUACUCGCUGUUUGCGAUAUACGGCAAGCGGCCAAGCGAAAGCGUUAAGUAUUCCACCUGGGGAGUACGCCGGCAACGGUGAAACUCAAAGGAAUUGACGGGGGCCCGCACAAGCGGAGGAACAUGUGGUUUAAUUCGAUGAUACGCGAGGAACCCUACCCGGGCUUAAAUUGCAGAUGAAUUACGGUGAAAGCCGUAAGCCGCAAGGCAUCUGUGAAGGUGCUGCAUGGUUGUCGUCAGCUCGUGCCGUGAGGUGUCGGCUUAAGUGCCAUAACGAGCGCAACCCUUGUUGUCAGUUACUAACAGGUUCCGCUGAGGACUCUGACAGGACUGCCAUCGUAAGAUGUGAGGAAGGUGGGGAUGACGUCAAAUCAGCACGGCCCUUACGUCCGGGGCUACACACGUGUUACAAUGGGGGGUACAGAGGGCCGCUACCACGCGAGUGGAUGCCAAUCCCCAAAACCUCUCUCAGUUCGGACUGGAGUCUGCAACCCGACUCCACGAAGCUGGAUUCGCUAGUAAUCGCGCAUCAGCCACGGCGCGGUGAAUACGUUCCCGGGCCUUGUACACACCGCCCGUCAAGCCAUGGGAGCCGGGGGUACCUGAAGUGCGUAACCGCGAGGAGCGCCCUAGGGUAAAACUGGUGACUGGGGC